GCUCCUGGAUGAAAUGAGAAGGAUGCUCCUGGAUGAAAUGUGAAGAAGGUUACUGGAUGGAUAGAUGGAAACAACGGUUUCUUGGUGAACGGUAUUCUUGAUGAAUGGAUAGAUGGAGACAGCGGUUUAUGGAUAUAUGGGGACAGCGGUUUAUGGAUAGAUGGAGAUAGCGGAUUCUGUAUAGAUAGAGAUAGCGGUUUCUGUAUAGAUGGAGACAGCGGUUUCUGGAUAGAUGGGGACAGCGGUUUCUGGAUGGAUGGAUACGAUGGCUCCUGUAUGAAUGGUAAUGACGGUUGUCUUAUGAAGAACGUCGGCGGUGACGGCUAGAUCGACCCCAAUAUAAAUAAUUUGUACCGAUCCCAAUAUGAAUAAUCAGUAUGGUUAAGUUAGACGAUUAUCCUGAAUGGAUGGAGAUGAUGCCAAAAUGAAUGUAGUCGAUGGUUUCCUGGAUGUAUGGAGACAAUGUUUCUGUGUAGAUGGAUACAACGGUUCCUGAAUUGAUAAGAUGUUUUUUGAUUGUAUGAAUCGAUAGCUUCUGACUCGAUGGAUUCUGGAUGGAUGGAGAUGACGUUUUUCGGAUGGAGAUGAAUAGGAUGAUUCCUGGAUAGUGGACACAAUGACUCUUGAAUGGUACGUGACUAUGGUUUCUGGAUGUAUGGCUACUAUGGUUCCUGACGAAGAUUAUUGGAUGAGAGAGACGACGGCUCUGGGGUAGAUGAAGAUGAAGUUUCUUGUAUGCAUGGAGACAAAGUGACGACAUUAGGGUGGAUGAAUGAGACUGCUCCUGCGUGGACGGAGGCGGCUGUUCCUUAACGAAUGAAGACGACGGACUCUAAAUAGAUGGAGAUGGUGGUUCUUGGAUGGACAGAGACGGUGGAUACAUGGAACCGAUGGCUGGAGAAGAUUCCAGUUUAUUCUAAGAAGACUUCCUGGUCGGUCGGAAAGUACUGUUUUUGUUGGUUGUACAUGUUUCCUGGUCGAAUAUCCAGUAUGAGUGACUUAGGAGAAUACACUCUAUGAACAAAUGACGAAAGUUGUUGAUAGAGAACUACAUACUACGUUUAGAUGAAAUGGGUCGAUGGUGUUUGAAAGGAAUGAGAUGACAGUCCAUGAAUAAAAAGAGGCGACGUUUCUUGGAUGGGUGGAUACGUCCAUGAAUAAAAAGAGGCGACGUUUAUUGGAUGGGUGGAUACGAUGGAUACUAAUUGGUAAGAGACGAUGGAAACGAUAGCUUUUUAUGAAUGGAGGGAGACGACGGUUCCUUGAUGGAGGGAGAUGACGGUUCCUUGAUGGAGGGAGACGACGGUUCCUUGACGGAGGGAGACGACGGUUUCUAGAUAGAUGGAGACGACGGUUUCUAGAUAGAUGGAGACGACGGUUCCUGGAUGGAUGGAGACGACGGUUCCUGAAUGGAUGGAGACGACGGUUCCUGGAUGGAUGGAGACGACGGUUCCUGGAUGGAUGGAGACGACGGUUCCUGAAUGGAUGGAGACGACGGUUCCUGGAUGGAUGGGAAGACAAUUUGUGGAUGGACGGUAACGACGAUUCCUGAAUGAAUGAAAACGACGGUUCCUGGAUGAAUUAAAACGACGGUUCUUGGAUGAAUGGAAACGACGAGUUCUGGAUGAAUGGAAACGACGAGCUCUGAAUAAAUGGAAACUACGGGUCCUGGAUAAAUAAAAACGACGGUCUCGGGAUAGAAUUUUCGUUGAGAAUACAACACGACAGUCUUGAAGAAUAUUCCACAAUAUACACAGAUACACAUAUCGGCUUAUUGUGGUGGUUCAUUUGAAGACAAGUAUCUAAUUUUGAUCUUGAUUACAUUUGGUUCAAAUCACAGUUUUAUGUACAAUGAGUAUUAUAAUAAAAUUUUUAUAUUUUAAAAAAA